GGGGGCGACACGGUUUCGACGGGGAUGAGAAUGCCUUGAUUGCGUGCCGGGGGUUUCUGUCACCUCGUUAAAAGGCGGAAAACGUAUAAGUGCCAACAAUACAAACGUUGAGUACGCUCUGGCUGCGUAACAGCUAGCCACGUCCGACUCUUGAGGCCUGCGGCUUGAGAAGGGCGCAAUUUAGCAGGAUAGCCAAACGGUUUUGUUCGGAGGCCGCGCGGCGAAACAAUAUCUGAACUGGCUGUCGUGAGACGCCGUCCGUUGGCGGCUCGUGGCGGUGAGACA
rnacentral:tmRNA from 1 species